rnacentral:rRNA from 1 species
AGAGUUUGAUCCUGGCUCAGAACGAACGCUGGCGGCAGGCCUAACACAUGCAAGUCGAGCGCCCCCGCAAGGGGGAGCGGCGGACGGGUGAGUAACGCGUGGGAAUUUUCCUCAAGGUACGGAACAACUCAGGGAAACUUGGGCUAAUACCGUAUGAUGUCUAGCGACCAAAGAUUUAUCGCCUUGGGAUAAGCCCGCGUCAGAUUAGGUAGUUGGUGGGGUAACGGCCUACCAAGCCUGCGAUCUGUAGCUGGUCUGAGAGGACGAUCAGCCACACUGGGACUGAGACACGGCCCAGACUCCUACGGGAGGCAGCAGUGGGGAAUCUUGCGCAAUGGGCGAAAGCCUGACGCAGCCAUGCCGCGUGAAUGAUGAAGGUCUUAGGAUUGUAAAGUUCUUUCGCUCGUGACGAUGAUGACGGUAACGAGAGAAGAGCCC